rnacentral:rRNA from 1 species
CCUACGGGUGGCAGCAGGGAGGAAUAUUGGUCAAUGGACGCAAGUCUGAACCAGCCAUGCCGCGUGCAGGAAGACGGCGCUAUGAGUUGUAAACUGCGUUUGUACGAGGGUAAAUCCCGAUACGUGUAUCGGGUUGAAAGGAGCGUACGAAUAAGGAGCGGCUAACUCCGUGCCAGCAGCCGCGGUAAUACGGAGGAUUCAAGCGUUAUCCGGAUUUAGUGGGUUGAAAGGGUGCGUAGGCGGUUCGAUAAGUUAGAGGUGAAAUCCCGGGGCUCAACUCCGGCACUGCCUCUGAUACUGUCGGGCUCGAGUUUAGUUGCGGUCGGCGGCAUGUCUGGUGUCGCGGUGACAUGCAUCGAGAUCCUAC